UGCGUAGGCGGAUGCAAAGGUGUCUUGUGAAAUCCCUCGGCUCAACCGGGGAACUGCAAGGCAAACCAUGUGUCUUGAGACAUGUAGGGGUCGUCGGAACGAUAGGUGGAGCGGUGAAAUGCGUAGAUAUCUAUCGGAACGCCAAUGGAGAAGUCAGGCGACUGGGCAUGUUCUGACGCUGAGGCACGAAAGCGUGGGUAGCGAACAGGAUUAGAUACCCUGGUAGUCC
rnacentral:rRNA from 1 species